rnacentral:rRNA from 1 species
CGAGCACGCGCGUGUGGCAUAUCAAUAAGCGGAGGAAAAGAAACUAACAAGGAUUCCCCUUAGUAACGGCGAGUGAAGCGGGAAGAGCUCAAAUUUGAAAUCUUCAAGGGUUUACCUUUACGAAUUGUAGUUUAAAGAAGUGUUUUCUGCUGAGGUUUUGGUAAAAGUUCUUUGGAAUAGGACAUCAUAGAGGGUGAGAAUCCCGUAUUUGACCAUUAUUUUCAGCUUUGUGAUACACUUUCAAAGAGUCGGAUUGUUUGGGAGUGCAGUCCAAAAUGGGUGGUAAAUUUCAUCUAAAGCUAAAUAUUGGCGAGAGACCGAUAGCGGACAAGUACCGUGAGGGAAAGAUGAAAAGAACUUUGAAAAGAGAGUUAAACAGUACGUGAAAUUGUCAAAAGGGAAGCGUUUGACACCAGUGUUGUUUUUCUGAAAAUCAAUUAAAGAACUGUUUAUGCUAAGUUGUUUAGACUUUAUCAGCUAACUGUUUAGUUUUGAGCUUUUCUUUAAUGCACUUUUCAGUUAACAAGUCAACAUCAAUUUCUUUUGCUGUAAAAAAGCUUGAGGAAGGUGGCUUGAGAUUCGUCUUAAGUGUUUAUAGCCUCUUGCCUAUGCAGGUCGGAGAGAUUGAGGUCUGCAGCGUAGAUCCUUCGGGGCUAAAUGCAUUUGUGCUAAGUUAUAGCAUUUUAUAGACAACUUGUUGACUAUGAUUCGUCUUGUAGCUUACUCGCUUAUGUUAUUUACCUACGCUUAGGAUGUUGAAGAUGUAGCACAUCAU